rnacentral:misc_RNA from 1 species
UCAAUCCCAAGGCUAACGAGAAAAAAUGACUCAAAUCAUGUUAAGUCGUUCAAUAUUCCAGCGUUAUAGGUCGAUAUUCAAGCUGUGCUUUCAUUGUAUGCAUCUGCCCGUACCUCAGAUAUUGUGCUUGAUUCGGGGGAUGGUGUCACUCCCACCGUCCCCAUUGGGGAAGGUUCCUCCCUUCCUCAUGCGGUCAUGGGUAUUGAUCUUGCUGGUCGCGUUCUCACCACGAGGAGGGCUAAAUUACUCCACAGAGGGGGGUUUUUUUUCACAACAUGGGCGAAGUGGGAGUUUUUUCGGAAAACAACGCAAAUUUUGUGUUUUUUUUCGGAGGUUUAUGAACA